rnacentral:rRNA from 1 species
AUUGAACGCUGGCGGCAUGCUUUACACAUGCAAGUCGAACGGUAACAGGCCGCAAGGUGCUGACGAGUGGCGAACGGGUGAGUAAUGCAUCGGGACGUGCCCAGUCGUGGGGGAUAACGCAGCGAAAGCUGCGCUAAUACCGCAUACGAUCUAUGGAUGAAAGCGGGGGACCGUAAGGCCUCGCGCGAUUGGAGCGGCCGAUGUCAGAUUAGGUAGUUGGUGGGGUAAAGGCUCACCAAGCCAACGAUCUGUAGCUGGUCUGAGAGGACGACCAGCCACACUGGGACUGAGACACGGCCCAGACUCCUACGGGAGGCAGCAGUGGGGAAUUUUGGACAAUGGGCGCAAGCCUGAUCCAGCAAUGCCGCGUGCAGGAAGAAGGCCUUCGGGUUGUAAACUGCUUAUGUACGGAACGAAAAGGCUCUGGAUAAUACCUGGGGCUCAUGACGGUACCGUAAGAAUAAGCACCGGCUAACUACGUGCCAGCCGCCGCGGUAAUAC